CUAAUUAAUAAGUUUAUUAUUAGAACAAACAAUACAUUAUGUAUAAUAUAAUAAACAUAAAAAGUUAAAAAUAAAUCAUUUAAGUAGUAACAACCAAGUAAUACAUAUAGGUAUUUUGAAAAGACUUAAUGUAAUUACAGCUUAAAUAGUAUCUACCUACCUAUAUCCUAGAAUUUAAACAAUACAAAAAUGCUGUUCUGGGAUAAUGGAGACUGCAGCCACUGUUAUAGCUAAUGUAAGC